rnacentral:rRNA from 1 species
AUUGAACGCUGGCGGCAGGCCUAACACAUGCAAGUCGAGCGAGCGGAGGACGGGUGAGUAAUGUAUGGGGACUGCCUGAUAGAGGGGGAUAACUACUGGAAACGGUGGCUAAUACCGCAUACUAUAGGCUACCCCAUAUGGGAUUGGCUAGUAGGUGGGGUAAAGGCAUACUUAGGCGACGAUUUCUAGCUGGUCUGAGAGGAUGAUCAGCCACACUGGGACUGAGACACGGCCCAGACUCCUACGGAGGAAGCAGUGGGGAAUAUUGCACAAUGGGCGCAAGCCUGAUGCAGCCAUGCCGCGUGUAUGAAGAAGGCCUUAGGGUUGUAAAGUACUUUCAGCGGGGAGGCGUUACCCGCAGAAGAAGCACCGGCUAACUCCGUGCCAGCAGCCGCGGUAAUUC